rnacentral:misc_RNA from 1 species
GUUUUUUGGUUGGAAGCAGUGAUGCAUAGAGAAGUUACAUUGGACAAGGAUUGAACCAAACAUAGUUGAUCAAAUAUUUUUUGGAUGAAGCAGGCAAGCAUAUGGAGGUUGUGCAUUAUUAUGGGAAAGAUGAUGAUGAACCAUUUUGAUUCUUCAUAACUGAGGCAGCUGGGUAUGCUUUUGUAAAAUGUGCAUUGGUGGUGAGGGGGUUGAU